GAUGAAGAACGUAGCGAAAUGCGAUAAGUAGUGUGAAUUGCAGAAUUCAGUGAAUCAUCGAAUCUUUGAACGCACAUUGCGCCUUCUAGUAUUCUGGGAGGCAUGCCUGUUUGAGCGUCAUUUAACCUCUCUCAAGUAUGAUUACUUGGAUGUGAAGGAAGAGUACCUUAAACUUAAGGAGUGUUCUCCUUUGAAAUUGAUUAGCAGAUGGUAAUGUUAUUAAAUCCCUGAUGUUGUAAGAAAUAACAGUGGUUUUGUAGACUAUUAUCUAGCUUUAAAUUAUAAUUUUUAUUAUGGUUGACCUCAAAUCAGGUAAGGAUACCCGCUGAACUUAAGCAUAUCAAUAAGCGGAGGA
rnacentral:misc_RNA from 1 species